rnacentral:rRNA from 1 species
UACGUAGGUGGCGAGCGUUGUCCGGAUUUACUGGGCGUAAAGCGCGCGCAGGCGGCUGUUCAAGUCCGAUGUGAAAUCUUCCGGCUUAACUGGAAAACGGCAUUGGAUACUGGACGGCUGGAAGGUGGGAGAGGGUAGCGGAAUUCCCGGUGUAGUGGUGAAAUGCGUAGAUAUCGGGAGGAACACCAGUGGCGAAGGCGACUACCUGGCCUGUUCUUGACGCUGAGGCACGAAAGCGUGGGGAGCAAAAGGG